rnacentral:lncRNA from 1 species
UCCUGGGACACCACUAUUUAAAAGGAGAAAUUAAACUUUGUUAGACAUGGUUCAGUCCAUUGUGGGUUUGCUAGUCAGUCGGAGAUUAUGCUUUAGAGACUACUUGCUAUGUACUUAAGAAUGUUCUGAGUAAAUUGAUCACCAAAACUCCAUAUGAGAUAUGAACUUGGGUAAUUCGAUACUCAUUUAUCUUAGGUUUGGGGUGUCAAACUUAUGUGAAAUAUUUACAAACCAACUAGCUUGCAUCUUGAUCUGAUAAAUAUUAUUUUAGGGAUAUUUCUUCUACGUUUCAGAUCGACAUGAGAUGUUCAUGAAUCUUAAGGUAUUUUUUUUAAAAAAAAAUUCUUUGAUGAAGAAAUUGAUGCCGUUAAGAGCAAGCUUAGUGAAACUUGAUAGGUAGAGAAAUCGAUUCUGACACGAACC